rnacentral:lncRNA from 1 species
GUUGUGGAUAUCUCGCCCCGCCGUCGAUUCACCGUUCUCGCACGCCGAAGCCUAAUUUUUAUUUCUUUCCUGAAGCUCAGCUGCACUCGGAACUCUUGCGAAGACCACGCACACGUUAGCUCACUGAUUGUUCGAGCUAGACGUGCUCUUUAGUUUCCUACACAAAGAGAAAACACCAAGAGACUAAGUUAGAAGGUGCAGCUGCAACAGAGAGAUAAAGUAACAGGAAAUAGAAGAGAUGGGGCAGCUGAGUGGCUGCCCGGAAACGGAGCAGCAGCGGCUGUCCGGAAACGACGCGGAGCAGCUGUCGGAGACGACGCAGCGGCAGCUGGCGAGACGGCGCAGCAGUGGCAGCUGGCGAGACGACGCAGCAGCGGCAGCUGGCAAGACGACGCAGCAGCGGCUCUCUCCUCGGCUCAGAUCUCGGUCUCUCUCAAACCCAAAUGUAGUCCUCCUCCGGCAGCACCUCGUUCCGGCAACUCCACUGCCAAAUCACCCUCAACCUCACUCAGGCUAAUCCACGCAGAGAUAGCUCAGUUCGGACGAAGAAGACACACACAAGCACUAAGCUUGUUCACACUUCGCCCAAGACACGGAGAUGACAGGAGGUAUGGUGAAGGCACAGGCAAGGC